CUGCCCUAUGGGUUGUAAACCUCUUUUAUAAGGGAAGAAUAAGUUCUACGUGUAGAAUGAUGCCUGUACCUUAUGAAUAAGCAUCGGCUAACUCCGUGCCAGCAGCCGCGGUAAUACGGAGGAUGCGAGCGUUAUCCGGAUUUAUUGGGUUUAAAGGGUGCGUAGGCGGUUUAUUAAGUUAGUGGUUAAAUAUUUGAGCUAAACUCAAUUGUGCCAUUAAUACUGGUAAACUGGAGUACAGACGAGGUAGGCGGAAUAAGUUAAGUAGCGGUGAAAUGCAUAGAUAUAACUUAGAACUCCGAUAGCGAAGGCAGCUUACCAGACUGUAACUGACGCUGAUGCACGAGAGCGUGGGUAGCGAACAGGAUUAGAUACCCUGGUAGUCCACGCCGUAAACGAUGCUCACUGGUUCUGUGCGAUAUAUUGUACGGGAUUAAGCGAAAGUAUUAAGUGAGCCACCUGGGGAGUACGUCGGCAACGAUGAAACUCAAAGGAAUUGACGGGGGCCCGCACAAGCGGAGGAACAUGUGGUUUAAUUCGAUGAUACGCGAGGAACCUUACCUGGGUUUAAAUGGGAAAUGCCGUAUUUGGAAACAGAUAUUCUCUUCGGAGCGUUUUUCAAGGUGCUGCAUGGUUGUCGUCAGCUCGUGCCGUGAGGUGUCGGGUUAAGUCCCAUAACGAGCGCAACCCCUACCGUUAGUUGCUAGCAUGUAAUGAUGAGCACUCUAACGGGACUGCCACCGUAAGGUGAGAGGAAGGCGGGGAUGACGUCAAAUCAGCACGG
rnacentral:rRNA from 1 species